AUUGAACGCUGGCGGCAUGCCUUACACAUGCAAGUCGAACGGCAGCACGGGAGCAAUCCUGGUGGCGAGUGGCGAACGGGUGAGUAAAGCAUCGGAACGUGCCCAGUCGUGGGGGAUAACGUAGCGAAAGCUACGCUAAUACCGCAUACGAUCUGUGGAUGAAAGCGGGGGACCGUAAGGCCUCGCGCGAUUGGAGCGGCCGAUGUCAGAUUAGGUAGUUGGUGAGGUAAAGGCUCACCGAGCCGACGAUCUGUAGCUGGUCUGAGAGGACGACCAGCCACACGGGGACUGAGACACGGCCCAGACUCCUACGGGAGGCAGCAGUGGGGAAUUUUGGACAAUGGGCGCAAGCCUGAUCCAGCAAUGCCGCGUGCAGGAUGAAGGCCUUCGGGUUGUAAACUGCUUUUGUACGGAGCGAAACGGCUUCCACUAAUACUGGGGGCUAAUGACGGUACCGUAAGAAUAAGCACCGGCUAACUACGUGCCAGCCGCCGCCGUAACAC
rnacentral:rRNA from 1 species